rnacentral:rRNA from 1 species
CAGCCGCCACGGGAAAACCAGCACCUCGAGUGGUCAGGAGGUUUAUUGGGCCUAAAGCAUCCGUAGCCGGUUGCAUAAGUUUUCGGUUAAAUCUAUGCGCUUAACGUAUAGGCCGCCGAAAAUACUGUGCAGCUAGGGAGUGGGAGAGGUACACGGUACUCGAUAGGAAGGGGUAAAAUCCUUUGAUCUAUUGAUGACCACCUGUGGCGAAGGCGGUGUACCAGAACACGUUCGACGGUGAGGGAUGAAAGCUGGGGGAGCAAACCGGAUUAGAUACCCGCGUAGUCCCUGUCUCUUAUAC